ACACACACACACUCUCUCUCUCUCUCUCUCUCUCUCUCUCUCUCUCUCACACACACACACACACACACACACACACACACACACACACACACACACACACACACAUACACACAGAUGAUAUUACCAACUUCACCUUUAUUUAUACCAUUCUUAGGUGUAUAAUCACUGACUGAGCCCAUCUGUUAGUUUGCACAAAGUAUUGGCACCCCAUAGAGUUUUAUACACUCUAUAAUACCUCAUUAAGCUCAUAUAAAUCUUUAUGAAUUAUGUUGUGACAAAUCUUUGGAUGUAUUAUAGUGUUAUGUAUUAAACAUACAAUAUUUAUAAUGAAUUACAGAGCAACACUGAUUUAUACAGUGAUUUUUAUAGUGAUUUUUACAGUGACAACACUGAAGAAAUGACUCUGUGCUCCAAUAUAAAAUAGUGAGCGUUCAGCUUGUAUAACAGUGUCAAUUUGUUGUCCCCUCAAAAUAACAACACACAGCCAUUACUGUCUAAACCGCUGGACACAAAACACUGCCUUAACCGUCUUGGGCAUGGAGUUCACCAGAACAUCACAGGUUGCCACUGGAGUCAUCUGUCACUCCUCCAUGAGGACAUCACCGAGCUGGUGGAGGUUAGAGACCUUGUGCUCCUCCACCUGCUGUUUGAGGAUGUCCCACAGAUGAUCAAUAGGGUUAAGGUCUGGAGACAUGCUUGUCCAGUCCAUCCCCUUUACCCUUCUUCAGCAAGGCAGUGGUCUAGCCCUAACCCUAACCCUAACCCUAGGUGUGUUUGGGGUUGUUACCAUGUCGGAAUACUGCCCCGUGGCCCAGUCUCUAAAGGCAGGGGAUCAGUUAUUAGCAGUUAUAAACACAAAAGAGCGAAUCAGUUAAAAAACCUUAAAAGUGUGAAAUCGAAUCAAUAAAAAAACAUUUUCAACACUUUAAAAAAACGAUCCAAACGAUCCAUUUUUUGUGACACCUACUUACAAUAAAUAGAAGCUAAUAAAGAAGGUUUUCAUUUAAUUUGCA